GCGUGGCCAACUGGGGAACGAGCAGAAGGCUUAGGACUUGAGAGGUACUGUUUACAAUGUAGCUAUGUUUGAGAUCGCUCUGGCAACUGUUUUUAAUGAAAAACUGCAUUAUUUGGCCAAAAUUAUGCAGAAUGAAACAAGUUUACAGGGAAAUGUCAAAAUUUGGACCCUUAAUUUAAACAGUUUAUCUGAUGUUUAGUUACACUUUAAAAUUGUUAGUUUGUUGAGUGGACUUCCAGUGAGUACAACUGUGACACCUUGUGGUUUGGAGGAUGAACCGCAGUGAAAACAGGGACGUUUGCUCCAGUUUGUGUUUAUGUUUGAAUGUUUUGUUUAGUUUUUGAUUUUAAAUUUUGAGAUUUCCUACAUUGUGAAACAGAUGAAUCAAAGGAAACAGAAAACUUAGCAACUUGUGCUAAAGCUGGGAAGUAAAAUGUCAAAUUGAGGCAGCAAUGAAGCAGGACUAAGGUUUUGAAAAUGGUUUUGGGCUUGGAGGAGAUUGAAAUCUUCUUCAUUCAGUUGAACCUUGAAGUUUUUGAUGGUCCAGUUUAUCAGUUAGGAAGUUGCUCUUAAUCUCAUUGUGAUAAAUUUUCACAUCUGACCUCAUUUUAACAGAAUCACCCUAAUAGUUCGUGAAACUCUUGCGUCAUGGUUCAAACCUUCAGCCUCGACUCCACAGCUGCUCCUCAUGUUUUCUUUAGUUGCAACAUUUUCCACCGACUCAAACUCUCCUGUAAAAAUAUUCCAGAGACGGCAAAGACUCACCGUUUGUCAUCGAAAUAAAAUGUUUCCAGAUCCGAGGAACAAUGGGUCCAUCCAAAAACAAAGAGGCUCGAGGAGUGACAAGCACCUCAGGGAUGUUUUCCUGAAGACGAGUCGGCGUUUCCCGCUUCGUCUUCCUGACUGCGGGACGGAGCGGCGGUCCGCACCUGAGAGUGAACUGAGGACAAAGAAGAACCUUUCUUCACUCUGAAAGUCAGGACGCAUCGCCCGGCCCACGGACGGCUCUAAUCGCAUCGACAGGUGACACGUAUGUGGGAACCAGAAGAUGAUGGGGAGACGAGUCGGAUCAUGUGACCUGCGCCUCACAUGCCUCCUCCGUGGGCCAUCUCUAAAUCCCGACCGGGUGACAGCGGAGAGUCGCCACAGCGACGUGAGGCGGCCAGCGCUGCUGGAGACUCUGAUCCGCCAUGCCAGUCAGCAUCAGCGGCGAGUCAAAGGCCUGGAAGUUAAUCUGAAGUUGAGGAGUUGAUGCCUCAUAGAUUAGGGGUCGUUAGAUUAUCUGUGGAAAGGAUUUAAGAGUUUAAAUUUGUGUCGGAAGCCGUUUAUUUAAGGUUUUAGAGAUUUACUGAACUCCUUCACAGUUUAAACUCAGAUCUUCUCCGGGUCUGGACCAGUUCCCAGACCAGUAGCUACUGGGAUUGAUACGUUUGAGCUCUGAUCAAUGGGAUUGAACACCUGAAUACCUGGAUUUAGAAAUCUUCUGAGCUCUUAAUGUGGAGGGUCACUUACUUUUAAAGAGGUAGAUUAUGAAUUAAAGGUUCCAAGAAAGUCUGCCCACACAUCCUUAAAAUGUCUUAAAUUCAUUUGAAAAUAUG